GGCCCCUCGUGGGUGGUUUAUAAAUGGUUGUAUGGGGGGUCUGACCUGCCCGGUGAUGUAAAAGUUAAACGGCUGCGGUAAAGCGUACUAAGGUAGCAUAAUAAUUUGCUUAUUAAUUGUGGGCUUGUAUGAAUGGUUUAACGAGGGUUUAGCUGUCUUUUGAUGAAGUAUUAAGAAAUUAUGUUCUAGGUAAAAACUCUUAGAUUGGGUUGAGGGACGAUAAGACCCUGUUGAGCUUUAGUGGAGCUGGGGGUUCCAAGUGAGGUUUUGUUUAAGUGAUGUUGGUGUUUUCAGUGAUAUCUUUGAUUGGGGAAUUCGAGAAGGAGGAGAAGCCUUUUUAAGUGUAUUUAUUAAAGGUACUGAUGGGUAGUAGAUCUGGCGUAAUGCAGAUUAAAGUGUAAGUUACCGUAGGGAUAACAGCGUAAUCUUUCUGGAGAGUACUUAUUGAGAGAAGGGUUUACGACCUCGAUGUUGGAUUAAGAUAUCCUGAGGGUGUAGAGGCUUUCAAAGGUUAGUUUGUUCAACUAUUAAAAUCUUACA
rnacentral:rRNA from 1 species